CCGUAACUAUAACGGUCCUAAGGUAGCGAAAUUCCUUGUCGGGUAAGUUCCGACCUGCACGAAUGGCGUAAUGAUGGCCAGGCUGUCUCCACCCGAGACUCAGUGAAAUUGAACUCGCUGUGAAGAUGCAGUGUACCCGCGGCAAGACGGAAAGACCCCGUGAACCUUUACUAUAGCUUGACACUGAACAUUGAGCCUUGAUGUGUAGGAUAGGUGGGAGGCUUUGAAGUGUGGACGCCAGUCUGCGUGGAGCCAACCUUGAAAUACCACCCUUUAAUGUUUGAUGUUCUAACGUAGACCCGUGAUCCGGGUUGCGGACAGUGUCUGGUGGGUAGUUUGACUGGGGCGGUCUCCUCCCAAAGAGUAACGGAGGAGCACGAAGGUUAGCUAAUCCUGGUCGGACAUCAGGAGGUUAGUGCAAUGGCAUAAGCUAGCUUGACUGCGAGCGUGACGGCGCGAGCAGGUGCGAAAGCAGGUCAUAGUGAUCCGGUGGUUCUGAAUGGAAGGGCCAUCGCUCAACGGAUAAAAGGUACUCCGGGGAUAACAGGCUGAUACCGCCCAAGAGUUCAUAUCGACGGCGGUGUUUGGCACCUCGAUGUCGGCUCAUCACAUCCUGGGGCUGAAGUAGGUCCCAAGGGUAUGGCUGUUCGCCAUUUAAAGUGGUACGCGAGCUGGGUUUAGAACGUCGUGAGACAGUUCGGUCCCUAUCUGCCGUGGGCGCUGGAGAAUUGAGGGGGGCUGCUCCUAGUACGAGAGGACCGGAGUGGACGCAUCACUGGUGUUCGGGUUGUCAUGCCAAUGGCAUUGCCCGGUAGCUAAAUGCGGAAAAGAUAAGUGCUGAAAGCAUCUAAGCACGAAACUUGCCCCGAGAUGAGUUCUCCCUGACUCCUUGAGAGUCCUGAAGGAACGUUGAAGACGACGACGUUGAUAGGUCGGGUGUGUAAGCGUAGCGAUACGUUGAGCUAACCGAUACUAAUGAACCGUGAGGCUUAACCUU
rnacentral:rRNA from 1 species